rnacentral:rRNA from 1 species
AACGAACGCUGGCGGCAGGCCUAACACAUGCAAGUCGAACGCUCGUAGCAAUACGAGAGUGGCAGACGGGUGAGUAACACGUGGGAACCUUCCCUAUGGUUCGGAAUAGCCCAGGGGAAACUUGGGGUAAUACCGGAUAAGCCCUUCGGGGAAAGAUUUAUCGCCAUUGGAUGGGCCCGCGUCGGAUUAGCUAGUUGGUGAGGUAACGGCUCACCAAGGCGACGAUCCGUAGCUGGUCUGAGAGGAUGAUCAGCCACACUGGGACUGAGACACGGCCCAGACUCCUACGGGAGGCAGCAGUGGGAAUAUUGGACAAUGGGCGCAAGCCUGAUCCAGCCAUGCCGCGUGAGUGACGAAGCCUUAGGGUUGUAAAGCUCUUUUGGCGGGAAGAUAAUGACGGUACCCGACAGAAUAAGCUCCGGCUAACUUCGUGCCA